rnacentral:lncRNA from 7 species
GGGGUGGAGAGGGGGCAGAGGUGAGGGGGGUGAGUAAGUGGGGGUGUGGGUGGCUGGGGGGGAGAGGAGAGAGGGUAGGAAGGAAAAAAUUGGAGGUAGGGUGAGGGAAGGGGGAGGGUUGAAGGGAAACUAAUGAAACAGACGGACAAAGGAGAAUAACAAGUCAAAAGCAAUGCAUGUAAAUACAGAGCAAGCAAGUAGGAAAGCUAGGCAUAGCACAGCAAAAGAGAGCACAGCAACAGAAGGCAAAGAAUGACAAAAAAGCAACCUUGCAGGAAUGGAGGACUCUGGCCAGAGCUGUGCCCCUGCUUGCCACAGGAGCUGCGCGGGAGGAGAAGAAUGUGGGCCAAAAGGAAUGGAGGACUCUGGCCAGAGCUGUGCCCCUGCUUGCCACAGGAGCUGCGCGGGAGGAGAAGAAUGUGGGCCAAAAGGUAAGAGGAGCUCCUUUGGGUUCUGGGCUUGAAGCAAAGCUGAGAAGCCAUGCCCGGGAGGAGGUGUGGGUAGCUACAGGCCAGCUUGCUAUCUCCCCAAGAGAUGAGGUGUGUGGGCUAGGCACCGGGCAGGAGUGCUGGCCAGAAGCAAGCAUCUCUGUGGAGGAAGGCAAAGGGCGGAGGAGGUUCAAGGGUAGCUACCGGGCAUGGCCUUGCUCAGCAAGGGGAGGAAAAGCGUGAAGGGCACGAGAAGGGGACAGAGAAGGGCAGGCAGUAGGCGUGAAGCUGUGAGCAGAGUAGAGAGCAACUUGGCAGAGCAGCACGCAGAGUAGGCAAGUGUUGGGGUUUGGCGUGAGUAGCAGCAAAAGCCCAUAGCAUCAAGAGCAGGAAGUGAGGAGAAGGUAAGUGAAGGGCAGGCAAGGUACUGGGAGGCAAAGGCAAGGGGAAAGGGGAGGGUAAGGGAGAAAGAGGGGAUGGGGAGGGGAGGGGAUGGGUGAAGAGCAGAGCGGAGGGAAGGGCUGAGGGGAGGGCUGAAGGCAAACCUGUGAUGAAAAAGAAAGAAAAGAAAAAAUAAGAACAAAAAAUAUGAAAAAAGAGAAAAAAGAAAAGAAAAUAAGAAAAAGAGAAAAAAUGAAAAGAAAAAAAGAAAAAAUGAAUGAAAAAGAGAAAAAAAGAGUAAAAGAAAAAGAAAGAACAAAAAGAAAAAAAGAGAAAAGAAAAAGAAAAGAAAAAAAGAAAAAGAAAAAAAAGAGAAAAGAGAAAAUAUGAAAAAAAAAAAAAAAAGAAAAGAAAAAACUAAUAGAUGAAAACAGAAAAAGCAUACAAAAAACCGAAUAAUGACAAGAGAAGAAAGGUAAAGAGAAAAGAAGAAAAAAGCCAAGUGAAAAAGUAAAGAAUAACUCAAAGGAAGGAGUGGAUGGCAAGAAAUACAGAGAAAGCAAUGCAUAGCAGAGCAAAGGAAAGCAAGGCAAAAUAGCAGCCAAAGCCACGAGAAUCAAGAAGUCAGUGAAGAGCAGGAAAGGUAAGUUUCCCUUAAAGCAAGGGGGAAUGGUAGUGGAUGGGGGCAAAAGAGAGGGGAGGGGAGGGGAAGUGAAGGAGAGGGGGGAGGGGGAGGAGCAGUGGGGCUAGAGGGGGGUGAGGGGGCGAGAGGGGGGAGGGAGGAGGGGUGGAGAGGGGGCAGAGGUGAGGGGGGUGAGUAAGUGGGGGUGUGGGUGGCUGGGGGGGAGAGGAGAGAGGGUAGGAAGGAAAAAAUUGGAGGUAGGGUGAGGGAAGGGGGAGGGUUGAAGGGAAACUAAUGAAACAGAGGACAAAGGAGAAUAACAAGUCAAAAGCAAUGCAUGUAAAUACAGAGCAAGCAAGUAGGAAAGCUAGGCAUAGCACAGCAAAAGAGAGCACAGCAACAGAAGGCAAAGAAUGACAAAAAGCAACCUUGCAGGAAUGGAGGACUCUGGCCAGAGCUGUGCCCCUGCUUGCCACAGGAGCUGCGCGGGAGGAGAAGAAUGUGGGCCAAAAGGUAAGAGGAGCUCCUUUGGGUUCUGGGCUUGAAGCAAAGCUGAGAAGCCAUGCCCGGGAGGAGGUGUGGGUAGCUACAGGCCAGCUUGCUAUCUCCCCAAGAGAUGAGGUGUGUGGGCUAGGCACCGGGCAGGAGUGCUGGCCAGAAGCAAGCAUCUCUGUGGAGGAAGGCAAAGGGCGGAGGAGGUUCAAGGGUAGCUACCGGGCAUGGCCUUGCUCAGCAAGGGGAGGAAAAGCGUGAAGGGCACGAGAAGGGGACAGAGAAGGGCAGGCAGUAGGCGUGAAGCUGUGAGCAGAGUAGAGAGCAACUUGGCAGAGCAGCACGCAGAGUAGGCAAGUGUUGGGGUUUGGCGUGAGUAGCAGCAAAAGCCCAUAGCAUCAAGGAGCAGGAAGUGAGGAGAAGGUAAGUGAAGGGCAGGCAAGGUACUGGGAGGCAAAGGCAAGGGGAAAGGGGAGGGUAAGGGAGGAAAGAGGGGAUGGGGAGGGGAGGGGAUGGGUGAAGAGCAGAGCGGAGGGAAGGGCUGAGGGGAGGGCUGAAGGCAAACCUGUGAUGAAAAAAGAAAAGAAAAG